rnacentral:rRNA from 1 species
UUGUUGUAUAUAAAAGACUAACCUGCUCAAUGAUUUAUUAAAUAGCUGCAGUAUUUUGACUGUACAAAGGUAGCAUAAUCAUUUGUCUCUUAAUUGGAGUCUGGAAUGAAUGGUUGGAUGAAAAAUUGACUUUCUUUAUUUUAAAAAUAAAAUUUAAUUUUUAAGUUAAAAAGCUUAAGUUUUUAUAUAGGACGAGAAGACCCUAUAGAACUUUAUUAUAAAUGAUAUAUAUGGGUUUUUGUAAAUAUUUUUCAUAAAUUUCUUUUAUAAUUUUGUUGGGGUGACAAAAAAAAUUUUUUAACUUUUUUUAUUUUAAUCAUUUAUUUAUGAAUUUUUGAUCCUUUAUUAAGGAUUAUAAGACUAAGUUACCUUAGGGAUAACAGCGUUAUUAUUUUAGAGAGUUCAUAUCGAUAAAAUAGUUUGCGACCUCGAUGUUGAAUUAAAAUUAGUUUCAGGAGCAGAAAUUUGUUUACUAGGUCUGUUCGCCUU